AUGGAUGCUGCUAGAACACCAUCCACAGGCUUAGAUGACAGGACUGCUAGCUCCGAUGAAGGCAGUAUCAAUUUAAUCAGCUAUCCAUCAAUAGCACCAUAUAUAAGGGAAUCUUCAAGGGGGGUCUUUAGCUCUGAAUUAUCUCAAAACCCUGUUAGAAUGGUACCGAAUGGUGCAGUCGUUGAUGCAAGUUUUCAAGAAGCACAAGGAUGCGACCUGCUAUCCACAUAG